rnacentral:other from 1 species
CAUUGCCUGCGGUGUUCGUGGAAUCAGGAUCCGUAUGGACCUACAUUUUUCAUAAGGGAUGCCGGACUCUUGUGGUGUAUUGCAGGCCUCCCGCCCCGGCUUUGACCGUUGGGUGGACGUUGGAAGCAGAGCAGCCGCAAGGAGGCGACCCACCUGCACAUGCUGCAGGUUAUUAUGGAUCCCCACGGCACCGCGGGUUUUUU